rnacentral:rRNA from 1 species
GAUGAACGCUGGCGGCGUGCCUAAUACAUGCAAGUCGAGCGAACAGACGAGGAGCUUGCUCCUCUGACGUUAGCGGCGGACGGGUGAGUAACACGUGGAUAACCUACCUAUAAGACUGGGAUAACUUUGGGAAACCGGAGCUAAUACCGGAUAAUAUAUUGAACCGCAUGGUUCCAUCGUGAAAGACGGUUUUGCUGUCACUUAUAGAUGGAUCCGCGGCGCAUUAGCUAGUUGGUAAGGUAACGGCUUACCAAGGCUACGAUGCGUAGCCGACCUGAGAGGGUGGUCGGCCACACUGGAACUGAGACACGGUCCAGACUCCUACGAGAGGCAGCAGUAGGGAAUCUUCCGCAAUGGGCGAAAGCUUGACGGAGCAACGCCGCGUGAGUGAUGAAGGUCUUCGGAUCGUAAAACUCUGUUAUUAGGGAAGAACAAAUGUGUAAGUAACUAUGCACGUCUUGACGGUACCUAAUCAGAAAGCCACGGCUAACUACGUG